CACCAUCUAGGGCUGCUGUGUGGGGUACCACAGCAAUGAAGAGCCACUGAGCUCUUGAACAUACAGGUGUGCUUUAAGAUUUAUCACAAGCUUAACACCAUUCCAGACCAGAGUUAGUACGGGAAAGGAUGUAAAAAUUUAUGGAGGCCAUCCCUAAUCUGAAAAACCUGAAAUACAAAACACUUGGGAAUCCAAAACCUCUCGAUCACCUACAUGAUUCCAAUGAAAACAAGCAAGGAGAACCUGAAAUGUCUGUGAAGUCAUGUUCGGUCAACAAACCACUCAGCUGAUAAAAGCAAGAAUGCUAGCCCACAAACAAAGAGAUGUCUUCAGUGGAGCAGCUUCCAUGGAUCCGUGUUUUACCCUUUGGCCAUUCACAACCUCACCGUCUGCUGCUCAGGGCCUUCUUAUUUUGUGUUGCAGAAUAAGGAGACAAGACAACAAUGAAAACAGAGAGCCCAGGCCAGUAGCCAGGCAGGAAGUAUAGGUGGGACAGCCAGAAAUGGAGGACUUUGGGAAGAAGAAGGCAGAGUCAGAGGAGUCACCAGGAGCAACAGAGGAAACAGGACAUGCUGGAGGACAGUAUUCAUUUUCAUACCAUUUUGGCUGAACUAGGAAGUAGAAAAUUCCUGGACCAAAAGGGCUCCCCCAUCAGCUGUCUAAUUUGGGGUUGAUCAACUGGACUGCCCACCAGGACACUGUCUUAUUGGUUUUGCGCCAUCUGCUGGACUAUGCCUGAAGGUACAUAGUCUGUUCUGGAACUGCCAGAGUUAGAAAACCUGCCAGUCAUAGCCCUGUAGUGAAAGGAAGAAUGAUACGGCAAGGAAUGGCCAUCGGGAUUGUCAGCAUCAGGGAAGAGGAAAUGUUCCACAGAGAGCAACCAGAAAACCCUAACUUUAUCCAACUUGGUUGACUUGGUUAAACUUGACAUCCAUGGU